AUGUCCGACAUGGAAAUCGGGACGGGAACACAUUUUAGGUUAGGUUCGCCAGCGUGUAAGCGCGACUCCGACGCGUGUCAGCGUCCACAGCCCAGUGUGACACCUUCCCUCGCACCAUCCACCGCGCAGUCAUUUUCCUUCCCCCGUGUGAACACAUCAAAAGUCACCUCGGGCCCCCAACUGCCCCAGAUUGUUCCCGAUCGCUGCAGACGCCCCGCACCCGCAGGAACUUCCCCGCGCGGGGGGACACUGCGCCCUCGGGAGGAGACGCAGGACCGUCCAGGGCGCAGCCUCGUCCCCAGCGCAGUCUCCACUCCGGGAGCAGAGCGCGCCCUCCCCACAAGGCAGCAGCGUCGCCCGCCCGGCCCAGCCUCGUCUCGGCGCAGCCUGCUGUCCCCCAGCGCAGCGUCCCCCAGGGACAGAGGCUCCCGGCCCCGGGCGCAGCCUAAUUCCCCGGGCAGCCUCGGAUCUCCGGGCGCAGCCUCAUCCCCAGCGCAGCCUCCGGCCCCGGGCGCAGCCUCGUCCCCAGCAGCCUCGGAUCCCCGGGCGCAGCCUCGUCCCCAGCAGCCUCGGAUCCCCGGGCGCAGCCUCGUCCCCAGCAGCCUCGGAUCCCCGGGCGCAGCCUCGUCCCCAGCAGCCUCCGGCCCCGGGCGCAGCCUCGUCCCCAGCAGCCUCCGGCCCCGGGCGCAGCCUCGUCCCCAGCAGCCUCGGAUCCCCGGGCGCAGCCUCGUCCCCAGCAGCCUCGGAUCCCCGGGCGCAGCCUCGUCCCCAGCAGCCUCCGGCCCCGGGCGCAGCCUCGUCCCCAGCAGCCUCGGAUCUCCGGGGCACCGCGUCCUCUCCCCAGAACGCAGCCUGGGUCGCCAGGGCGCAGCCUCGUCCCGGCGCACCUCCCUCCCCGCGGCGCGGUGCAUCCCACGCGGACUCGGCGCCCGCAGGAAGGGACGCGGGGCCGCCCGGGACGCAGCCUCCUCCCGGGCGAAACGCUCCAGCAGACGGGCGCCCCGGGAGGGUGGAUGCCGGGCGGUGUCAGGGCAGCCUCGCCGCCCCGCGGGCGCCCUCCGCUCCCGGGACGGCCCGCAGCCUGGGCCCCGCCGCCAGCCCCUGCCCGGCGCUUACAUAAACGCCGCCGCCGCGGGGUCCGGAGCCUCCGCGCCCGCCCUCACCUCAGCCGCGCCGCGCCUGGUCCUCCACAGCGCGCCCCAGGCUCCCGCCGCAGUCCUGGGCCGGGCGGCUCUCCGCCUCGUAGGCUGUGAGCUGCGGCGCGGCGUGGCUCUGGCCUCGCGCGGCCCGGAGCCCCGGCCGCCGACCCGGCCGCUCGGCAGCCGCCGCCGCCGCCGCAGCCAGGGCCGCCUCAGCCAGGGCCGCCUCAGCGCCUCAGCCCAGCCACUGGCGGCUCCGCCCCCUCCCCGCCCCCGCCCGCCGGGCGCGCGCGCGCCGAGGGGCGGGGCCGGCGCCGCGACGCCGGACGUGCGCGCGCAUGCGCGCCUGCUUGUCGCGGUCAGUCGGGGCUGUGGCGUCUCCCUCGGGACCAGCUGCAGCGGGCGAGCGUGGGGCCGGGACCCUGCCCGCGUUCGAGUCCUCCUCUGGCAUAUGCAAUAGACUCACUGCCCGAUUUAUCUGCAUUUACUGACUUCCACAGUUAUACCAAGAAAUGUUUACACGGAUGAUGAUAAGCACAUGUGCAAAUGCAGCGUUUUCACCGACCCGGGUAACCAACUCCCGGCUGCAGUUCUCUGCACGGAGAUGAGGCUUGAUGGGGAAACUCCGCAGCGACCUGAGCCUAGAGGAGCAGCUGGGCACGGUGGGCAGAGCCCGGUGUGGACAGGCGCUGGGUCCUGCACCUGGCUGGGGGGAGCUGCAGGCGCCAGGGUCAAGUUGAGGGUGUGCUAGUCCUGGCCUCCGGCCUCAGGUGGCCCACUCUGCCCUCUGCCUGUUUCCUCCCUUGUAAAGUGGGGAGGAACGGACCAUCACAAGCCAGGGUUGGUGGCACAUGCUGUGGUCUCAGCCACUCAGGAGGCUGCACCUGGAGGGUCACUUGUGUCCCAGAGCUGCGCUCCAGCCUGGGCAACGCUGAGACUCGGGCUCUGAAAACCCACAAAACGUAUAAGAUGAACGCAGAUAAACGAUGGGAGCCUGGUAUGUGGUGAGCACGCUGCAGGUGGCAGCCUGGAACCCAGGACAGGUCACUGCCUGGUGGAAAACAAGCCUGUCUUUGGGGCCAGCCAGCUAACAAGUGAGCGUUUCACCCCAUCUGAAGGCAAAGUACCCAAAUGGGCAACCGUGGACAGCUAAGUAAAAAUGAGGACUCCUGGGAUGCCUUCUCAGGACACAUUCUUAAUAAACAGAUACGUGCAUGAGGACAUUGUGUGUAUUUCUAUGCAGCAGACCACCCCAAACCUCAGUGAGCAAAAACCUGUCUUCACUGCUCAUGACCCUGUGGGCCUGCAGCUUGAGCCGGUUCAGCUGGGACGGCUUCCCUCGGCCCCACGAGGUGACCACUGGGCCUACUUAUCCGCAGAGGCCCCCGGCAGAUCCGGGCCAUGUGUCACCAGUCCCUACAGGCUGGCCGGGCCUCCUUCCCGGCAGGUCUCCAUCGGCAGCGAGAGAAAGCAAAUCCCUGUGGUGUUUCCAUCCAUCUCCCCAGGAGAAGCAG
rnacentral:lncRNA from 1 species